CUUCUUUUUCCCAAAAUCGAUGCCCCUAAUUUUUUCCCCUCCAUUUUCCCUAAAUCGGCAACCCUCCGCAGCCCAUACCCGCUAAUUUUGUUCUUUCUUAUUCUUGAUUUUUUAUUUUCUCGGUUGUGGCGGUGGUUUUAUUUUUGAACGAUUUCACGAUUUCGCGAUUUUUUAUUUGGGUUUUUAUUUUUCGAGAACUUUCUUUGGUUUCUCCAUUAAAAAUUGUUCAUCUUCUCUUCUUUUUUUUUUACCCUUUUCAUUUGCAUCGUAUCCAUUUGUCUGUCAUCAUGCACCUAUUUUCCAUCUUAGCUAAGACGGUAAGUUAAAUGGGAAGUGUAGGAAAAAAGUAGCUGAAAGUUUUGGGUUUUGCUUGGUUGAUUUUCUUUUUGUUUCACAUUUUCCUACUGACCAAACAAAGGGUAAAGAUAGAAUGUUGUUUUCCAGUAUCUAAGAGAAUUUGCAUAUACAAUUUACUUAAGUAUUUUUCUUCUUCUUCUUAUUAUUUAGGGUGCGAUGCGGGGUUUUUUUUUUUGGGUGGAAAUUUGGGUUUGAAUACUAUAUUUUAGAUUUCUAAAGUUUCUUUUAGUAGUGUAAAUCUGCAAUUCGUUGUGAUGUUUGGAUCGGGACCGGGGAUGAAUUUCAUGUUUAUGGCAUGUUUGGUUGUUGAGGAAGCUAAGGAAAACAAAAAAGCAAAGAACUGGAAUUUGAAUUACCAGCUGUUAAAGCUAUUUAGUACGUCAAAAUUCUCUAUCAAAAGAUAAAUAGACUUUGUUUCAGUUGAGCGACAAGCGAUGAAUGUUGUUCGGUUCAACUUAUUGAUGGAGAUGGUUCAUUCAAUGAUACUGGAAUCGAAAGUUUUAUCAAGGAAGUGAAACUUCAUGAAUGCGGUCUGUCAUAUGUCGUGGUUUCCAUCAUGGGACCGCAAAGCAGCGGUAAAAGCACACUGUUAAACAAUUUGUUUUACACCAAUUUCAGGGAGAUGGAUGCAUUUAAGGGAAGGUAACUUUUGUUUAUGUAAUAGCAAAUUGCAUUUGUUUCAAUCGGUUCAAACAAUUAAUGAAAUGAGCUUCUUAUCAGGUCUCAAACCACUAAAGGUAUUUGGAUGGCAAAAUGUGCUGGUAUAGAGCCUUGCACUAUAGUAAUGGAUUUGGAGGGCACUGAUGGAAGAGAGUGUUCCAUUCUCUCAUUAACAUGUUUUGUCAAAAAAUUGAAACUACAUUCAGGAAAAUUCUCCUUCCUUGCCCUGACCCCAAAGGACAAUAAAAAAGAGUAUUUUUGGCAUUGCAUUUUGAUUUAUUAAUCGAGUGCUUAGUGCCUGCUUUGUUGGCAAUUUAUCAACUACAUCUAAAAAAUUCUAACAAGUUUUGAUUGGCUUGGUGUUGCUAAUGAAUUGUUAGUUGUAGGCAGUAGUUCUAAUAUUGAAUGAAUUUUUGUUUUACCUGAUAGUAAAAUGAAAUUAAAGGUCAGUCAUCAAUUCUUUCUUUUUCUAAUGUCAAGGUUUUAGUUCUGAAUGUUCCAUUCUCUUUUUGCUUGUUUAAACAAAGGUUAUACCAUAGGUGAUAUUUGUUCCCUAGCAUUAUUUUCAGCAACAUUGAUUAGUAGAAUAUACUUGAAAUUGGAGCAAUCAAAUCGAUCAUGAUGAAAGUACAAAAUUUGGUGAUUUGCACUGGAGUUUUUUUGUUAAAAGAAGAAUUGGUGAUUUUAGACAGAGGUCUUGGUGCUCCAAUAACACGUAAAGCUUAGAGUGAUGUACCAAGCUGAACAAAUCAAUAGUGGUUUGAGAUUAUAAAAGUUGAAUAUGAAGUUGAUAAUCUGUUUGUUUUUGUCUGUUCCUAUCUAUCUUCCUUGUUUUGUGAAAAAUGCAGAGGAUUAGAGUUUCUUUCCAAGUUAUCUUAUUAAUUAUUUUCUUUGCAUUAUUCCAGGAUGACACAGCAUUUGAGAAACAAAGUGCACUUUUUGCACUGGCGGUUUCAGAUAUAGUACUCAUAAACAUUUAUUAGGUUUGGACGUUGGUGCUAGGGAGAAGCAAGGAAAUCCUAAAGUUGAUGAUGGAUUCAAUGUUCGAAAAGAAAAAAUCACCUGCAUUGCUGCAUCUGUUGAUGUGGAUGAGGAGUUUGAAUCUUCUGGAGUUGAAGAAACUAGGAGUACUGUUACAAAUGGCAGCCGAAGCCACACUAACAGACGCUAUCGUGAUAAGACAGCUAAUUUAACAACUAAUUCUGAUAUUGAAGGUGUUGUAGAGGAUUCAAUCUCUUCAAGCUGGAAAAGUCAAGGCUUAGCACUUCUUCAAGUGGAGUGUUAUUUAAUUUUUCAUUCCAUGGUCGUUUAUCUUAGUCGGAACUUGAAUUUGGUGUUAUUGAAAUAGGGUUUUGUAGCUACUUUGUGUACUAGCUUCUUUAACCAUGAUUGUUAAUUAUUACGUGUUUUGUAGCUUCUUCUAUAUUUGGCCGAGUUAAUAUAGAUCAGAUGAGUUGUGAGGUA